UACGUAGGGGGCAAGCGUUGUCCGGAUUUAUUGGGCGUAAAGAGCGUGUAGGCGGCCAGGUAGGUCUGCUGUGAAAACUUGAGGCUCAACCUCAAGCUGUCGGUGGAAACCACAUGGCUAGAGUCCGGAAGAGGAGAGUGGAAUUCCUGGUGUAGCGGUGAAAUGCGCAGAUAUCAGGAAGAACACCCGUGGCUAAGGCGGCUCUCUAGUACGGUACUGACGCUGAGACGCGAAAGCGUGGGGAGCGAACAGG
rnacentral:rRNA from 1 species